rnacentral:other from 1 species
AUUUCUCUGAGAUGUUUGCAAGCGGGCCAGUCCCCUGAGCCGAUAUUUCAUACCACAAGAAUGUGGCGCUCCACGGUUGGUGAGCAUGCUCGGCAAACUGUGACGACACAUUCACCUUGAACCAAGGGUUCAAGGGUUACAGCCUGCGGCGGCAUCUCGGAGAUUCC